rnacentral:tmRNA from 1 species
GGGGGUAUAAUGGUUUCGACAUAUAUAGGUUUUAUUAUAUUGCAGUAGUGUUGAGGACUAUAAUCUCUACUAGGCUUUUUAAACGGAAACGAUAAAAAAGAAAACGAAGAAUUUAACUUUUCUUCACCAGCGUUUUACGCUAACUCAAAUCUUGCAUUCGCUUAAUAUUUAGCGUCAAGUUGUGUUUAUGCAACUCCUUUAGUAUAAACAUAGGUUUUAAAGGAUAAAAUAAAAGGGUGGUGUCUUUUAUUUGAAAUUCACUAUUUAUUUUAAGAAUGAGGAAUUUUGUUAGUUUAAUUACUUAAAAUGAAUUAUUUGCCUCUUUAAAAAAUAUUCAAAACUAAAUAAACUGUAGAAGUAUGAUAAUAAUUUAUGUGUGGACACGGGUUCGACUCCCGUUACCUCCACCA